rnacentral:rRNA from 1 species
GACGAACGCUGGCGGCGUGCUUAACACAUGCAAGUCGAACGGAAAGGCCCUGCUUUUGUGGUGUGCUCGAGUGGCGAACGGGUGAGUAACACGUGAGUAACCUGCCCUUGACUUUGGGGUAACUUCAGGAAACUGGGGCUAAUACCGUAUAGGAGCUCCUGCUGCAUGGUGGGGGUUGGAAAGUUUCGGCGGUGGGGGAUGGACUCGCGGCUUAUCGGCUUGUUGGUGGGGUAGUGGCUUACCAAGGGUUUGACGGGUCGCCGGCCUGGGAGGGUGAACGGCCACAUUGGGACUGAGAUACGGCGCAGACUCCUACGGGAGGCAGCAGUGGGGAAUAUUGCACAAUGGGCGGAAGCCUGAUGCAGCAACGCCGCGUGCGGGAUGACGGCCUUCGGGUUGUAAACCGCUUUCGCCUGUGACGAAGCGUGAGUGACGGUAAUGGGUAAAGAAGCACCGGCUAACUACGUG